CUACUCCUCCCUCCGUCCGAAAUUACUUGUCGCAUAAAUGGAUUAUAAAACGGAUGUAUCUAGAAUUAAAAUACAUCUAGAUACAUUCAUUUCUCCGACAAGUAUUUUCGGGCGGAGGGAGUACUUG
rfam:Triticum aestivum genome assembly, contig: Triticum_aestivum_CS42_TGACv1_scaffold_499965_6BL